AGUGAACGCUGGCGGUAGGCCUAACACAUGCAAGUCGAACGGCAGCACAGUAAGAGCUUGCUCUUACGGGUGGCGAGUGGCGGACGGGUGAGGAAUACAUCGGACUCUACUUUUUCGUGGGGGAUAACGUAGGGAAACUUACGCUAAUACCGCAUACGACCUACGGGUGAAAGCAGGGGAUCUUCGGACCUUGCGCGAUUGAAUGAGCCGAUGUCGGAUUAGCUAGUUGGCGGGGUAAAGGCCCACCAAGGCGACGAUCCGUAGCUGGUCUGAGAGGAUGAUCAGCCACACUGGAACUGAGACACGGUCCAGACGCCUAAGGGAGGCAGCAGUGGGGAAUAUUGGACAAUGGGCGCAAGCCUGAUCCAGCCAUACCGCGUGGGUGAAGAAGGCCUUCGGGUUGUAAAGCCCUUUUGUUGGGAAAGAAAAGCAGCAGGUUAAUACCCCGCUGUUCUGACGGUACCCAAAGAAUAAGCACCGGCUAACUUCGUG
rnacentral:rRNA from 1 species